GGGGCGAACAAUAAGAAAGAAAAAUGUUGAGUUACGUUCAACCUGGAAGAUCAUCCUUGUUGCUUCCUUUGUCCUUCACUAUCUUAGCGUUAUGCUUUAUCGUCUUCCUGUUGAAACGGUAUCCACUUAGGAGCAAGAAAACCCUACCACCUUGUCCACCUGGGCUUCCAAUUAUCGGAAACCUCCACCAAAUUGGCUUGUACCCUCAUCGCUCUCUUCGAUCCUUAGCUCAGACCCAUGGCGACAUCAUGUUGCUUCACUUGGGUAGCGUUCCAGUGCUUGUUAUCUCAUCAGCUGAAAUGGCCCGCGACGUCUUGAAAACCCAUGAUCUUGUGUUUGCAGACAGACCUAAAUCAAGAAUGAAUGGGAAACUUCUCUAUGACCAAAGAGAUGUGGCUGCGGCUCCUUAUGGUGAGUACUGGAGACAGAUGAAAAGCUUAUGUGUUCUGCAUCUACUAAGUACUAAAAGGGUACAAUCGUUUAGGGAUUUGAGGGAAGAAGAGACGGCUUAUAUGAUUGAGAGGGUCAAAAAGUCUUGUUCUUCUUCACCAAUCAAUUUAAGUGAGGUCUUUGCAAGGCUUACCAAUGAUGUAGUUUGCAGAUCAGCUCUAGGGAGGAAAUAUAAUGCAGCGGAAGGAGGGACAAAGUUCAAGGAACUACUGGGGGAGUUUGGAGAAUUGUUGGGUUGUUUCGAUGUUGGGGAUUAUAUAUCAUGGCUUGGUUGGAUAAAUCAUGUGAAUGGGUUGUACGCUAGAGCAGAGAAAGUGGCUAAAGAGUUUGAUGAUUUCCUAGAAAGAGUAGUUCAAGAACAUAUUACUGGUAGUGAUGAUGGCCGACACGAAAACAAUAGUAAGGACUUCGUGGACGUUUUGCUUUGGAUUCAGAAGGAAAACAACGCUGGCUUUCCCAUUGAUGCAGCUAGCAUCAAGGCUAUCAUCUUGGAUGUAUUUGCAGGAGGAACAGACACUGCAUACACAGUCCUGGAAUGGACAAUGACAGAACUCCUAAGGCACCCAGAAGUGAUGAAGAAACUCCAGAAUGAAAUUAGAAAAAUCACCAGCAACGAAUCAUCAGUAAUAACAGAGAGCGAUCUGAAUAAACUUCCUUACUUAAGAGCAGUAAUCAAGGAAACUCUACGUCUUCAUCCUCCAAUCCCAUUGCUAGUUCCCCGAAUGUCAACUCAAGAUGUCAAAUUAAAAGGAUUCGAUAUUGCAGCAGGAACCCGAGUGAUUAUCAAUGCUUGGGCAAUAGGAAGAGACCCUGCAUUGUGGGAUCGAGCUGACGAGUUUUGGCCAGAGAGGUUCUUGAACAACAGUAUAGAUUUCAAAGGACAUCACUUCGAAUUGAUACCAUUUGGGACUGGCAGGAGGAUUUGUCCCGGCGUUCAAUUUGCGACGAGCAUAGAUGAGCUUGCAUUAGCAAAUAUACUGCACAAGUUUGAUUGGGCAUUAACAGGAAAGAAGUUGGACGACACCGAAAGCACCGGCAUCACCAUACACAGAAAAUUCCCUCUUCUUGCAGUGGCAACUCCAUAUUCGCAGUAAUGCUCUCUCUGUGAAUCUGUAUAAGUUUGCUUUAUUAUUUCAUCUUCUUUUUUUCAUAGACUAAUAACUGGUUUAGUUUCGCAACGUGCCUAUCUGAUUUUCCUUUUUUAUAUAUAUAUAUUAUUUUCCAGUAAAAUUCAUUGGA
rnacentral:misc_RNA from 1 species